GGACCCGCACAAGCGGUGGAGCAUGUGGUUUAAUUCGAAGCAACGCGAAGAACCUUACCUGGUCUUGACAUCCCUCUGACCGAUCCGUAAUGGGAUCUUUCCUACGGGACAGAGGAGACAGGUGGUGCAUGGUUGUCGUCAGCUCGUGUCGUGAGAUGUUAGGUUGAGUCCUGCAACGAGCGCAACCCUUAUCCUUAGUAGCCAGCAAGUAAUGUUGGGCACUCUAGGGAGACUGCCAGGGACAACCUGGAGGAAGGUGGGGAUGACGUCAAAUCAUCAUGCCCCUUAUGACCAGGGCUACACACGUGCUACAAUGGCGUAAACAAAGGGAAGCAAGCAUGUGAGUGUAAGCAAAUCCCAAAAAUAACGUCUCAGUUCGGAUUGUAGUCUGCAACUCGACUACAUGAAGCUGGAAUCGCUAGUAAUCGCGAAUCAGAAUGUCG
rnacentral:rRNA from 1 species